AACGUAGGACGCAAGCGUUAUCCGGAUUUACUGGGCGUAAAGCGCGAGCAGGCGGCUCGACAAGUUCGAUGUGAAAGCGCCCGGCUCAACCGGGCGAGGCCAUUGGAAACUAUCGAGCUGGAGGGCAGUAGAGGCAGGCGGAAUUCCGGGUGGAGUGGUGAAAUGCGUAGAGAUCCGGAGGAACACCAGAGGCGAAGGCGGCCUGCUGGGCUGCACCUGACGCUGAGCCGCGAAAGCCAGGGGAGCGAACGGG
rnacentral:rRNA from 1 species